rnacentral:misc_RNA from 1 species
AGUUAUAAUAUUUUAUAGGAAUACUGCUUGUGGAUAUAUGCCUAGUUGCUCCAUCUCAACUCAUGUUUUUCUGCAAGUCAUUCCAGUAUAGGAGAAUGGAGUAGAAAGUACUGUUUUAGUAUAGCGGGAACGUAUUAAACUUUGUGUAUUACUGUCAUAAAAUCAAGUUAUUUGACUAAAUCAGGAAAAUAUAAUAUCUGUCAGAUUGCUAUGCUAAUCUCAGGUGAAAUGUUCUAAUUUUAUAUAUUUGAAUGAUUGGUGUUUUCUUUCUUUCUUCUUUUUGUUUUUCCUUUUUUUAAUUUUUUUAAUAUGUUCAUAUCUAGCUUGGUUAUGUAAAUCAUCCAUUUUUUUUUAAAUAAAUGAAGGAUUUAAAUAAUGAGUU